AAGGGUCCCGGGAACGUGGUGGGGCAGGGCCCCCGAGCGUGGUUGGACUUUGAAGGGGAGCGGCCGCCAUGCUGCAUCCCCUUUUUGGAAUUGCUCAACCGGGUGGUAACCGGCGCCGCUUCCUGGCCUCGGGAGGUGGUUCCUUUCUUAACCCACAAGAACCUCUCCCAAGAGAACUUGGUCCUGAUGUCUGACCAUGGAGAUGUGAGCCUCCCGCCCGAAGACCGGGUGAGGGCUCUCUCCCAGCUGGGUAGUGCGGUAGAGGUGAAUGAAGACAUUCCACCCCGUCGGUACUUCCGCUCUGGAGUUGAGAUUAUCCGAAUGGCAUCCAUUUACUCUGAGGAAGGCAACAUUGAACAUGCCUUCAUCCUCUAUAACAAGUAUAUCACGCUCUUUAUUGAGAAACUACCAAAGCAUCGAGAUUACAAUCUGCUGUCAUUCCUGAAAAGAAAGAUACAGUAAAGAAAUUAAAGGAGAUUGCAUUUCCCAAAGCAGAAGAGCUGAAGGCAGAGCUGUUAAAACGAUAUACCAAAGAAUAUACAGAAUAUAAUGAAGAAAAGAAGAAGGAAGCAGAGGAAUUGGCCCGGAACAUGGCCAUCCAGCAAGAGCUGGAAAAGGAAAAACAGAGGGUAGCACAACAGAAGCAGCAGCAAUUGGAACAGGAACAGUUCCAUGCCUUCGAGGAGAUGAUCCGGAACCAGGAGCUAGAAAAAGAGCGACUGAAAAUUGUACAGGAGUUUGGGAAGGUGGACCCUGGCCUAGGUGGCCCGCUAGUGGCCUGACUUGGAGAAGCCCUCCUUAGAUGUGUUCCCCACCUCACCAGUCUCAUCCAUACAGCCUUCAGACUGUCACACAACUGUAAGGCCAGCUAAGCCACCUGUGGUGGACAGGUCCUUGAAACCUGGAGCACUGAGCAACUCAGAAAGUAUUCCCACAAUCGAUGGAUUGCGCCAUGUGGUGGUGCCUGGGCGGCUGUGCCCACAGUUUCUCCAGUUAGCCAGUGCCAACACUGCCCGGGAGUGGAGACAUGUGGAAUUCUCUGUGGAAAACUGAUGAGGAAUGAAUUUACCAUUACCCAUGUUCUCAUCCCAAGCAAAGUGCUGGGUCUGAUUACUGCAACACAGAGAAUGAAGAAGAACUUUCCUCAUACAAGAUCAGCAGGGCCCUCAUCACACUGGGCUGGAUUCAUGUAAGCAAUUCUGAGCUGUCUGAGAAUGGCCGCUGUGUCGUUCGCUCCUCAUUGGUCGGAUUUUCCGCAGGUGCCGAUUCUAGCCCACCUACUAGCUCUCCAUUCCAAGUCCUAAAUCAUUGGAAUGUAAUAGACAGACCAGCGGGAGUGGGCGGAGCGGGCGCCGGAUGUGACGUUUCCGGAACCUCCGAGUGUCAUCCGCGGGGAAAGGUGGGGAAGGGUCCCGGGAACGUGGUGGGGCAGGGCCCCCGAGCGUGGUUGGACUUUGAAGGGGAGCGGCCGCCGUGA